rnacentral:sRNA from 1 species
AGAUAGGUGCUGGAGCGAUAGUAGUGGUUAGCUUUUGGCGAGGCGUGCAUCGAGCCAAAACUAGUAGCGGAUAGCGCGGUUUUUU